rnacentral:rRNA from 1 species
UACGGGGGGGGCAAGCGUUGUUCGGAAUUACUGGGCGUAAAGGGCUCGUAGGCGGCCAACUAAGUCGGAUGUGAAAUCCCCAGGCUUAACCUGGGAACUGCAUCCGAUACUGGAUGGCUUGAAUCCGGGAGAGGGAUGCAGAAUUCCAGGUGUAGCGGUGAAAUGCGUAGAUAUCUGGAGGAAUACCGGUGGCGAAGGCGGCAUCCUGGACCGGCAUUGACGCUGAUGAGCGAAAGCUAGGGGAGCAACGGG